GACGAACGCUGGCGGCGUGCCUAAUACAUGCAAGUCGAGCGCAGGAAACUGACGGAACUCUUCGGAGGGAAGGCAGCGGAAUGAGCGGCGGACGGGUGAGUAACACGUAAGGAACCUGCCUCAAGGAUUGGGAUAACUCCGAGAAAUCGGAGCUAAUACCGGAUAGUUCAUCGGACCGCAUGGUCCGCUGAUGAAAGGCGCUCCGGCGUCACCUUGAGAUGGCCUUGCGGUGCAUUAGCUAGUUGGUGGGGUAACGGCCCACCAAGGCGACGAUGCAUAGCCGACCUGGGAGGGUGAUCGGCCACACUGGGACUGAGACACGGCCCAGACUCCUACGGGAGGCAGCAGUAGGGAAUCUUCCACAAGGGACGAAAGUCUGAUGGAGCAACGCCGCGUGAGUGAUGAAGGUUUUCGGAUCGUAAAACUCUGUUGUAAGGGAAGAACACGUACGAGAGGAGAUGCUCGUACCUUGACGGUACCUUACGAGAAAGCCACGGCUAACUACGUGCCAGCCGCCGCGGUAA
rnacentral:rRNA from 1 species